rnacentral:rRNA from 1 species
UAGUCCACGCCGUAAACGAUGAUUACUAGUUGUUUGCGAUAUAUUGUAAGCGACAAAGCGAAAGCAUUAAGUAAUCCACCUGGGGAGUACGUUGGCAACAAUGAAACUCAAAGGAAUUGACGGGGGCCCGCACAAGCGGUGGAACAUGUGGUUUAAUUCGAUGAUACGCGAGGAACCUUACCUGGGCUUAAAUGUAGUUUGACAUUAGUAGAGAUAUUAAUUUCUUCGGACAGAUUACAAGGUGCUGCAUGGUUGUCGUCAGCUCGUGCCGUGAGGUGUCGGGUUAAGUCCCAUAACGAGCGCAACCCACGUUGUUAGUUACCAGCAUUUAAAGAUGGGGACUCUAGCAAGACUGCCGGUGUAAACCGCGAGGAAGGUGUGGAUGACGUCAAAUCAGCACGGGCCCUUACGUCCAGGGGCUACACACGUGUUACAAUGGUCGGUACAG